rnacentral:sRNA from 1 species
UAUACCAUGAUGUUCAGGACACAUAGCC